rnacentral:tRNA from 2 species
GGCGCGGUACCCAAGCGGCCCAAGGGAGAGGUCUGCAAAACCUCCAUUCGUGGGUUCGAAUCCCACCCGCGCCUCCA